AGUGAACGCUGGCGGUAGGCCUAACACAUGCAAGUCGAACGGCAGCACAGUAAGAGCUUGCUCUUACGGGUGGCGAGUGGCGGACGGGUGAGGAAUACAUCGGAAUCUACUUUUUCGUGGGGGAUAACGUAGGGAAACUUACGCUAAUACCGCAUACGACCUACGGGUGAAAGCAGGGGAUCUUCGGACCUUGCGCGAUUGAAUGAGCCGAUGUCGGAUUAGCUAGUUGGCGGGGUAAAGGCCCACCAAGGCGACGAUCCGUAGCUGGUCUGAGAGGAUGAUCAGCCACACUGGACCUGAGACCUGGUCCAGACUCCUCCGGGAGGCAGCAGUGGGGAAUAUUGGACAAUGGGCGCAAGCCUGAUCCAGCCAUACCGCGUGGGUGAAGAAGGCCUUCGGGUUGUAAAGCCCUUUUGUUGGGAAAGAAAAGCAGCAGGUUAAUACCCCGCUGUUCUGACGGUACCCAAAGAAUAAGCACCGGCUAACUUCGU
rnacentral:rRNA from 1 species